AUUGAACGCUGGCGGCAGGCUUAACACAUGCAAGUCGAACGAGUGGCGGGCGGGUGAGUAAUGCUUGGGAACGUAGCUUAUGGAGGGGGAUCACUACGGGAAACUGUAGCUAAUAACGCGUACCAUAGGAUGAGCCCAAGUGGGAGUAGGUAGCUGGUGAGGUAAAGGCUCACCAAGCAGACGAUCUCUAGCUGGUCUGAGAGGAUGACCAGUCACACUGGGACUGAGACACGGCCCAGACGCCUACGGGAGGCAGCAGUGGGGAAGAUUGCGCAAUGGGGGCAACCUGACGCAGCCAUGCCGCGUGAAUGAAGAAGGCCUUCGGGUUGUAAAGUACUUUCAGUAGCGAGGCGUUAACUACAGAAGAAGCACCGGCUAACUCCGUGCCAGCAGCCGCGGUAAUUC
rnacentral:rRNA from 1 species